rnacentral:rRNA from 1 species
CCUACGGGAGGCAGCAGUGGGGAAUAUUGCACAAUGGGGGAAACCCUGAUGCAGCGACGCCGCGUGAGUGAAGAAGUAAUUCGUUAUGUAAAGCUCUAUCAGCAGGGAAGAAAAUGACGGUACCUGAGUAAGAAGCCCCGGCUAACUACGUGCCAGCAGCCGCGGUAAUACGUAGGGGGCAAGCGUUAUCCGGAUUUACUGGGUGUAAAGGGAGCGUAGACGGCAGUGCAAGUCUGGAUUGAAAGGCGGGGGCUCAACCCCCGGACUGCUCUGGAAACUGUACGGCUGGAGUGCAGGUGAGGGUAGUGGAAUUCCUAGUGUAGCGGUGAAAUGCGUAGAUAUUAGGAGGAACACCAGUGGCGAAGGCGGCUUACUGGACUGUAACUGACGUUGAGGCUCGAAAGCGUGGGGAGCGAACAGGAUUAGAUACCCGAGUAGUC